UACGUAGGGGGCUAGCGUUGUCCGGAAUCAUUGGGCGUAAAGCGCGCGUAGGCGGCCCGGUAAGUCCGCUGUAAAAGUCAAAGGCUCAACCUUUGAAUGUCAGUGGAUACUGCCGGGCUAGAGUCCGGAAGAGGCGAGUGGAACUCCUGGUGUAGCGGUGAAAUGCGCAGAUAUCAGGAAGAACACCAAUGGCGAAAGCAGCUUUCUGGGACGGUACUGACGCUGAGACGCGAAAGCGUGGGGAGCGAACAGG
rnacentral:rRNA from 1 species